UCCGGGUCAAGGAUUAUCAUUCAGAGUGUACGAAUAAGCUAGACUCAUCCAAAGCACAAGCUAUUUCAAAGGUGGUUUUCUUAGGAAAAAAAAUGGUGAUCAAUCGUAUCUUUCAGGAAAUCAACUCUGCUGAAAAUAAUUUAUCCUGCUUUUUACUUUUGUCUUCUUUCAGUGAAUUAAACUAUAACCAAGCUUAUUUCUUGAUUUGCAUUUCUUCUUAAUUAUUCUGAGCUAAGUUCUACCCUGCAGAGCUCCAGAAAAUGGAUAAAAUAUGCAUCCGAGUGUUGAACAGCAGCGGCAGACUCCUACACACCAAUCCCUGGCUGUGUGGGACGCUGCCAUUUUCCCCAAGUCAUUUCAGGUCAGAAACACCUCUGCUCCCAAAGAAUAGCAUUUAGGGGCCCCCACACAGGUCUUUGUAUGCACCGUAUAAUAUCUAUCAAGGAGCAAUACAUUGUUCUGCACCCUCCCAAGAGUAAGUGCAAGGCUACUUCUCUGCCCCUAUGGACAUAGAAGGGAUUCUACAAUCAUUCUGCCCAAUGGGAAACCCUGUGAAUUACCUUUAGAGGGCUUGAAGUCAAAAUCAGAACAUGAUUUUACUUUAUUCUCAUCCAAUAAGCCAAGCUUUCUUUUAAAAAUAACAUUAAUCCAUAUGAUUGUGGAACUUCUGAAAACUGCAGAAAUGAGUUAAAAAAAAAAAAAGUAUCCACAAUUCUGCAGACUUAGACUUGGUUGGUAUGUUCUUUGGCUUCUGGACUUCUGCCUCCUGCCUUCCCCUAAUGCAGAUACAAUGCCUAGAAGUGUCACAGGCAACUUGCAACCUUGAGGAUAAAAUUCACAUGCUGAGCAUGAAGAAGCAUAAUGACAGAAGUUUGGAUUCUUUCUCAACGCCAUUGAAUGAAGAGAAAGCUGACAGUUGGAUGAAGAAAGGCCUUGUGGAGGAAGUGUCAUUAGAGCUGACCUUCAGGAGCAAGUUCAGUGUUACUGCAAGCAAUCCUGGGGAAGUUAUUACAGAAAGUGCAGAGGAGAUCACUGGAUCAGAGGUGAAAAGAACAUGCGAGUGACCCUGAGGAAGCCAGCAACUAAGCUGCCCCAGAAGUCAGGAGUCUUUCAGUCUUUUCCGUGCUUAGAGCCUCAUCAACCAAGACAGGUGUGUGUGUGGGGGGGGGGGGGGUGGAUGACGGGGGAGGUUCCUCUCAAUCCCCUGGCUUUAGUCUUGCUCAGCAUUCUGGGGUGUGCUGGCUCAGGUCGAAGAAGCAGCACAUACUAACUUCCUUCCAGCUGCCUUAGUCAGCUGAGCCAAUUGCAUUGAGUGCUUGACAUCAAGGCUUCUCAAACAGAAUCCUGUUGGAAGUAAGAAACACAGACAGAUCUCUCCCCUCUUGUGUCUUGGCCUCUGGUAGGACAUUUUCAUAGAUGGUGCUCAUCUCCCAGUUGUGGUACUGGUGGUUGGGAUAGUGAUUACCUGUCUAGGUUGUGGCCUGGCUGGACUGAAGUCCCAUCUACUAACUUGCCCCAGGGAGGAGCCAAGGCUCAGUCAGAUAAAGCCUCUUCUCAUUACACGGAGCAUGUCACCCACCCCAUCGGCCCAGUUCUACUGCUUUUGAUGUCAGGGAUGCAGACUUGGGCUGAUUAGUCCAUUCAAAGUAGAUUGAAAAAAAAGUCCCUAUUUAUUUAGUCAGGAUUGUGUUUCAACAACAAAACCCUGAAAAGCUCUGAGGCUUCAAAGUUUAUUUCUUAUUUUUGCUAUAUGUCCAUUAUGGGUUGGAUGUGGCUCUAUCCCAUCUUACCUUUACUCUGGGACCCAUGCUGAUGGAGCAGGGGGCCCUAACUGAAACAUUGCUAUUUAUCUCCUGGCAGAGAGGAGCUCAGUGAACCAUCCAUUAGCCCUUAAAACUUCUGCUGGGAAGUGAUCCAAGGCUCUUCUGCCCAGUUCCAUUGGCCAAAGUCAAUCACAUGGCUAAGUUUUCUCUAAGGGGUAAGGAAGGGAUAAUCCACCCCCCACCCCCACCCCCCGGGAGCAGCAUGGAAUAUUUGUGAAAAAUGCUACAAUAUUCCACAUUUGGUCACCAAGGGAGGUAUUCCUCAAUUUCAUCGUAAAUUUACCUUAACUGACAGGUACUGGUGUGGUUUUUAUUUACCAUCUUUUAAAACGGUGGGAAAACCUGAGUGGUAAGUACCAAUCUCCAGGUGAUUGGUGAAGGUCAUUCAUUUUGGGUGAAGAGCUGAGAAAUAACAGAUUCAAAGCGUAGUGUGUGUUGUAGGUUGGAGGCAUAGAGUAGGAGGCAAGAUGGGGGGAGAGAGAGGCGCUUGAGUGUGGUGGGCCUUAGGCACCAAGGGUUUAGGAUCAUUCUUUAGGCAGUGAAGUUUCAUUGAAGACUUCAGAGUGUUGGGAUGCACACUCUUCCUGCCAAGAGCCCCGAAGACAUUUAUAAAGGAUGAAAUGAAGGCUGGGUACUAGUUAGAAACCAUCACUAAGAGAAUAAUGGUGAAUUUGACUUCAGUUCCAGACAGAUUUAAAUUCAAGAUCUGCCUUUGCAAUGUCAUAGCCACAUGAUUCCAGGGAAGUUCCUCUACCUCUCUAAACCUUGGUUUGUUCCAUGUAAGACGGAGAUGAUAAUAGUAUUGCCUUCCAUGGUUUGCUGUGGGAACUAAGUAAAGUAACGUAUGUAAAGUGGUUAGCAAAACCCAAUACACCUAGAAAGCCCUUACAUGUGGGAAAGCAGAGACAAUGAAGAUUUAGAAUCAAUAGGAUCUGGUGAUUUUAUGUGAAGAGUAAAGACAUGGGAGGAUCUGAAGAGAGUACCAACGUUCCCGGACUGGUGAAUGGUAAUGCCACUUACCUAUUCAGAAGCUGGUAACAGCGGGGGGAGGAAAAAUCCUGAGUCUGGGAUCCCAGGGAGACAUCCGUGGAGAAGGUUUCCAGCAGGUGCUUAGAAAUGUGAGCAAGGCUUAGUAGAUAGAACUUGUACAAUGAGUCAUUGGCUGAUUGUGUGGACAGAUGGUUUCUGGGGUCUCUUGUGGAAAAUAAUUUUAAUACUUACACAGCACUAAGAGCUGAGGAAAGAGACACUUCUCCAGGCUAAAGAUUCUGGAUGUCAGUCAUUCUCACACUUGAAUAUAUCAGAAUUACCUGGAGGGCUUCUUUAUGCCCAGAAUUUCUGAUUCAGUAGGUCAAGAGGCUGGAAACUGGGUUUCCUCACCUCCUCCAAAUGCUCUGCUCUUAUGUUGUCUCUGUCUUAACUUAGUCUUAGAGUAGACCUGGAAAAUGCUGACCCCACAAACAGGAGUGAUUACAUUCACACCAUCGAUCCUCAUGUCUAGAAUAAGAUUUAGGGAAAUGGCCUUUUGAGAAUACACAGCAGAUUGCUGGGAGAUCAGCAGCAAUUCAAUAUGACAGGUGUGGCAGAUUUUUUGAUUUGUAACAUCCCUAUGUUAUAAUUCAUAGAAUAAGUCUUUAGCCUAUGGACCUUAUUCAAGAGAUAUCAUCUGUCCUGAUGAACUAAACAAUCCAGAAAACCACAAUAAAUGCCUGUUGUGUGCAGAUCUUUGUCUCA
ensembl:lncRNA